ACACACACAUACACACAUGCAGCCAGCCGCCCCGACCGCUACGGGUGGCUCAUAGACAUUACGAAAUGCUCUUGAACUCGGCUUGAGAUCCUGGAAUAAUUAGGAUUUACCAAAUAAGGAUUCUUAGAAACAACAGAUUUUUUUUUUCUUUUUCCUUUUAAGAAAGGAGAUUUGCUGCAGAUGAUGAUGUGUCUGGGACUUUUGGGGGGAGUCAGGAGGAGAGGAGAGGAAAAGGAAAAACAUUUUAGAAUUCUUCACCGGGAAAAGAGGAGCAGCAUCAAGGGAAACAAUUAUUUUCUCUCCCCAGAGAUGGCAACACUAAAUCCAAAGGCAAAUCCUAAUGAUUCCGAAGCAGGCAGAGCCCACUGGACUUUAAAGACAUUCUCUUGCUGUUCGCAUCCGAGCACAGAUGAUUCCAAUGAAGAGACCCCUCUGGAGUAGAGCCAAUAGUCGGUCCCCACAGCUAUGGUCAUCAGGCUGAAGGCAGCGAAAGCACCAACGGUGGUUAAAAGCAUUUGAACACCUCGAUCAAACAGCCCCAUAAUUCUUCAUUAUAUAAACACCCAACCGACUUCUGGUUCUCGGAAGAGUGUGUCUGAGGGUGCGAGUACUAAAGCCAAAAAAAAAAAAAAAAAAAAAAAAAAAAAAAAAAAAUUAAAAUAGAA